rnacentral:rRNA from 1 species
CUACGGGCGGCAGCAGUGAGGAAUAUUGCACAAUGGGGGUAACCCUGCUGCAGCAACGCCGCGUGGAGGAUGACGCAUUUCGGUGUGUAAACUCCUUUUAUAUGUCAAGAAAAUGACGGUAGCAUAUGAAUAAGCACCGGCUAACUCCGUGCCAGCAGCCGCGGUAAUACGGAGGGUGCAAGCGUUACUCGGAAUCACUGGGCGUAAAGGACGCGUAGGCGGGUUGGAAAGUCAGGUGUGAAAUCCUACAGCUUAACUGUAGAACUGCACUUGAAACUUCUAAUCUAGAGUAUGGGAGGGGGAGAUGGAAUUAGUGGUGUAGGGGUAAAAUCCGUAGAUAUCACUAGGAAUACCUAAAGCGAAGGCGAUCUCCUGGAACAUUACUGACGCUAAGGCGUGAAAGCGUGGGGAGCAAACAGGAUUAGAUACCCUUGUAGUC